GCACCUUUUUGUGAAUGUCUCGCUGGGAACGCCGGGAAGCCUGGCAUGGCGGGCAGGAGCAGGAACAGCAGGGACGGGGCCAGCAGGAGAAGAAGGAGCAGAGGUGAGAGGAGACUCCUGGCCGGCUGCGGCAGGAAAGGUGUGCAUAGGUGUGUAAGUUUGUCCCCGGUACGCACAGGUGUGUAAGUUGUCCCCAGUACUCACAGGUGUGUAAGUUUGUCCCCGGUACUCACAGGUGUGUAAGUUGUCCCCAGUACUCACAGGUGUGUAAGUUUGUCCCCGGUACUCACAGGUGUGUAAGUUGUCCCCAGUACUCACAGGUGUGUAAGUUGUCCCCAGUACUCACAGGUGUGUAAGUUUGUCCCCGGUACUCACAGGUGUGUAAGUUGUCCCCAGUACUCACAGGUGUGUAAGUUUGUCCCCGGUACUCACAGGUGUGUAAGUUGUCCCCAGUACUCACAGGUGUGUAAGUUGUCCCCAGUACUCACAGGUGUGUAAGUUGUCCCCGGUACUCACAGGUGUGUAAGUUGUCCCCAGUACUCACAGGUGUGUAAGUUGUCCCCAGUACUCACAGGUGUGUAAGUUGUCCCCGGUACUCAUAGGUGUGUAAGUUGUCCCCGGUACUCACAGAUGUGUAAGUUGUCCCCAGUACUCACAGGUGUGUAAGUUGUCCCCGGUACUCACAGGGGGCUUAGAGGGAGUGGCCUUCAAGAAACAUGACCCCCGCAGCCACCACCACCACCACCACCACUUGGUCAAUGUCACGGUCCUGAACUCUACCGCCGCGCCAGUAACCUUUGCCAUUCCCACCAAAUAGUUUGACAUAUAUAACUGCAGGUUAGAUCUUUGUCGUAAAGCACCGAGUAGCUGUCUGGCUAUAACACAAAAUACUGUACACUCAAUAGAUUAUACA